AUGCACGCUGGCGGCGUGCUUAACACCUGCAAGUCGCACGAUGAAGCCCAGCUUGCUGGGUGGAUUAGUGGCGAACGGGUGAGUAACACGUGAGUAACCUGCCCUUAACUCUGGGAUAAGCCUGGGAAACUGGGUCUAAUACCGGAUAGGAGCGUCCACCGCAUGGUGGGUGUUGGAAAGAUUUAUCGGUUUUGGAUGGACUCGCGGCCUAUCAGCUUGUUGGUGAGGUAAUGGCUCACCAAGGCGACGACGGGUAGCCGGCCUGAGAGGGUGACCGGCCACACUGGGACUGAGACACGGCCCAGACUCCUACGGGAGGCAGCAGUGGGGAAUAUUGCACAAUGGGCGCAAGCCUGAUGCAGCGACGCCGCGUGAGGGAUGACGGCCUUCGGGUUGUAAACCUCUUUCAGUAGGGAAGAAGCGAAAGUGACGGUACCUGCAGAAGAAGCACCGGCUAACUACGUG
rnacentral:rRNA from 1 species